rnacentral:lncRNA from 1 species
CUUGUCACAGUCUAGGAAUAUGGUUCAGUACGACUUGUCACAGUCUAGGAAUAUGGUUCAGUACGACUUGUCACAGUCUAGGAAUAUGGUUCAGUACGACUUGUCACAGUCUAGGAAUAUGGUUCAGUACGACUUGUCACAGUAAACUGCCAAUAGUUAUCUGUGUAAAAUGUGCCAUAAUCCCGACCGUUGUGUUAUUACCAAACUCCCCAAUAAGACCCAAACCAGCAGUCAUUUACCCCGUAGUGUUACAUCCCAAACCAGCAGUCAUUACCCCCGUAGUGUUACAUCCCAAACCAGCAGUCAUUACCCCCGUAGUGUUACAUCCCAAACCAGCAGUCAUUUACCCCGUAGUGUUACAUCCCAAACCAGCAGUCAUUACCCCCGUAGUGUUACAUCCCAAACCAGCAGUCAUUUCCCCCGUAGUGUUACAUCCCAAACCAGCAGUCAUUACCCCCGUAGUGUUACAUCCCAAACCAGCAGUCAUUUACCCCGUAGUGUUACAUCCCAAACCAGCAGUCAUUUCCCCCGUAGUGUUACAUCCCAAACCAGCAGUCAUUACCCCCGUAGUGUUACAUCCCAAACCAGCAGUCAUUACCCCCGUAGUGUUACAUCCCAAACCAGCAGUCAUUACCCCCGUAGUGUUACAUCCCAAACCAGCAGUCAUUUCCCCCGUAGUGUUACAUCCCAAACCAGCAGUCAUUUCCCCCCUAGUGUUACAUCCCAAACCAGCAGUCAUUUCCCCCGUAGUGUUACAUCCCAAACCAGCAGUCAUUUCCCCCCGUAGUGUUACAUCAUUUCUACAGCUGGUGACGUAGGAUAUAAUUUACAAACCCAUCCAUUUCUAUAGCUGGUGACGUAGGAUAUCAUUUACAAACCCAUCCAUUUCUAUAGCUGGUGACGUAGGAUAUAAUUUACAAACCCAUCCAUUUCUAUAGCUGGUGACGUAGGAUAUCAUUUACAAACCCAUCCAUUUCUAUAGCUGGUGACGUAGGAUAUAAUUUACAAACCCAUCCAUUUCUAUAGCUGGUGAUGUAGGAUAUAAUUUACAAACCCAUCCAUUUCUACAGCUGGUGACGUAGGAUAUCAUUUACAAACCCAUCCAUUUCUAUAGCUGGUGAUGUAGGAUAUCAUUUACAAACCCAUCCAUUUCUAUAGCUGGUGAUGUAGGAUAUCAUUUACAAACCCAUCCAUUUCUAUAGCUGGUGAUGUAGGAUAUCAUUUACAAACCCAUCCAUUUCUAUAGCUGGUGAUGUAGGAUAUCAUUUACAAACCCAUCCAUUUCUAUAGCUGGUGAUGUAGGAUAUCAUUUACAAACCCAUCCAUUUCUAUAGCUGGUGAUGUAGGAUAUCAUUUACAAACCCAUCCAUUUCUAUAGCUGGUGAUGUAGGAUAUCAUUUACAAACCCAUCCAUUUCUACAGCUGGUGACGUAGGAUAUCAUUUACAAACCCAUCCAUUUCUAUAGCUGGUGAUGUAGGAUAUCAUUUACAAACCCAUCCAUUUCUAUAGCUGGUGAUGUAGGAUAUCAUUUACAAACCCAUCCAUUUCUAUAGCUAGUGCUUGUACCCUACAGACUAGUCCUUAGUUCACACACUUGGUCCAUUCAUAGUGCACUUGGUCCCUUCAUAGCGCACUUGGUCCCUUCAUAGCGUACUUUGUCCCUUCAUAGUGCACUUGGUCCCUUCAUAGCCCACUUGGUCCUUUCAUAGUGCACUUUGUCCCUUCAUAGUGCACUUGGUAGUUCACGUCAUAGUGUUUUCCCAGCAGCCCUGCCUUGUUGACUAGUAUGGGUCCAUUCCCACUGGGCACAGACGUCAAUUCAACGUCUAUUCCACGUUGGUUCAAUGUAAUUUCAUUGAAACGACGUGGAAACAAAGUUAAUUCAACCAUUGUGGGUUCUUUAGGAGCAAACUCUUCCUAUACAUUACAGUAAACACGAUCUCAGGAGGGAACCUCUGCUUUGUCUACCAGAGAAUAAUACCAUUCAUAAUAAUACUGAUUAACUGGCGUACAAAACCACGUUGUUUUGUUCUUGUGUUGUUGGUGUUUCCAGGUCUGAAGAGAACCUAUGUACUGCCUUUCUGUCCUUCUGUGGGAAAACUGGAAAUCGCUGGAGAUUUCUUUCUGUAUAAAAAGAGUGUAUUAUUGUAUUGGACUUUUACCUUUGUAUGUAUAAACACUACAUUAUCAGCCUCUUGGAUUCACUGGCUUUACUUUCAUAUCCCCUGGUUAAUGUCUCUGUAUGUAGUGUUGUCUUACACACACACACACACACACACACACACACACACACACACACACACACACACACACACACACACACACACACACACACACACACACACACACACAAAUAUACACACACACACACAAAUAUACACACACUCCUCUAGGAGUCAGACCCUCUCCAGAUCUCUCCCAUACAGGACUCCUCUAGGAGUCAGACCCUCUCCAGAUCUCUCCCAUACAGGACUCCUCUAGGAGUCAGACCCUCUCCAGAUCUCUCCCAUACAGGACUCCUCUAGG